rnacentral:rRNA from 1 species
GACGAGCCACACGAACGUUAUUCGGAAUUACUGGGCUUAAAGGGUGCGUAGGCGGUGCGGAAAGUUGGGUGUGAAAUCCCUCGGCUCAACCGAGGAACUGCGCUCAAAACUACCGUACUUGAGGAAGAUAGAGGUGAGCGGAACUUACGGUGGAGCGGUGAAAUGCGUUGAUAUCGUAAGGAACACCCGUGGCGAAAGCGGCUCACUGGGUCUUUCCUGACGCUGAUGCACGAAAGCUAGGGGAGCAAACGGG